UAUUUCCUUUACUAUUAACCAUGAGAAAUUACAAUUUACCCCUGUGCACACUUCCAAAAGCUGACUAAAAAAAGAAAUAUCGUUCUCUUUCUUUUUGUACCUCCCCCAUGAAACCGGACCACCCAUCUGUUUCUUCAUCUACGAUCUCUCACCAAACUUAAAUCUCUCGAUGAUGGAUUUUCAAAGCUCAGAUGUCGAGCCCAUCACCGUCAAGAUUCUCCCUUUCUGGCCGCAGAUUUAUUGUAUCAAGACAUCUCGACUACUGACUCAUGAUCUCGCUUCUCCAUGGCGGCGACGAAGGGAAAGAGGCGGUUAAGGGUUUAGAUCUGGAAUUGCUUCCUCAUGGCGGUGUCCAAGAAAAAAGGUGUUUAUGGUUUUGAUUUGAUUUUGAAUUAUUGAUUUGAUUAUUUAGGGCUUUAUGAAGAGAAGCUGGUAUGUUGCGGCUCCACCGUCUGUACCAACAUUCUCAAGCAUCUCUACCACAAUUCUAGUUUGCAUCCUUUGGUUUGUCCAGAGUCGGAAUUCAAACCGUACCCGUCACAAUGAAAAAAUGGUUAGAUUUCUAAGGCUAGAUUCAAUUCUGAUGGUCUCCUCGUCACGUUCAAGUAUCUCGCCGCGGUGAUCUGAGAUGCCAAUAUGCUAAAGAAGAACGGAUCAUGAGGAGAUGAAUUCAACUGUACAAUGGGUUGCCUCUUUCUCCCAUGUCUACACAACCAUCUGCAUCUACUAGGAAGUUAUGUGAUAUUGAUACAUAGCAAUUUGAUAUCCUCAGAAUCCUCAUUUUUGUGUAUUUCAACAUUCUCUGUGCUUUUCUUUUUUGUUUGGAUACACUUUUUCAUCUGUCUAACAUACACUUCAUGUGAUAAACAACAAAUUUGUUUGUACA